AGUGAACGCUGGCGGUAGGCCUAACACAUGCAAGUCGAACGGCAGCACAGUAAGAGCUUGCUCUUACUGGUGGCGAGUGGCGGACGGGUGAGGAAUACAUCGGAAUCUACUUUUUCGUGGGGGAUAACGUAGGGAAACUUACGCUCAUACCGCAUACGACCUACGGGUGAAAGCAGAGGAUCUUCGGAUCUUGCGCGAUUGAAUGAGCUGAUGUCGGUUUAGCUAGUUGGCGGCGUAAAGGCCCAUCAAGGCGACGAUACUUAACUGGUCUGGGAGGAUGAUCACCCACACUGGAACUGAGACACGGUCCGGACUCUUACGGGAGGCAGCAGUGGGGAAUAUUGGACAAGGGGAGCAAGACUGAUCCAGCCAUACCGCGUGGGUGAAGAAGGCCUUCGGGUUGUAAAGCCCUUUUGUUGGGAAAGAAAAGCAGCAGGUUAAUACCCCGCUGUUCUGACGGUACCCAAAGAAUAAGCACCGGCUAACUUCGUG
rnacentral:rRNA from 1 species